GACGAACGCUGGCGGCGUGCUUAACACAUGCAAGUCGAACGGAAAGGCCCUGCUUUUGUGGGGUGCUCGAGUGGCGAACGGGUGAGUAACACGUGAGUAACCUGCCCUUGACUUUGGGAUAACUUCAGGAAACUGGGGCUAAUACCGGAUAGGAGCUCCUGCUGCAUGGUGGGGGUUGGAAAGUUUCGGCGGUUGGGGAUGGACUCGCGGCUUAUCAGCUUGUUGGUGGGGUAGUGGCUUACCAAGGCUUUGACGGGUAGCCGGCCUGAGAGGGUGACCGGCCACAUUGGGACUGAGAUACGGCCCAGACUCCUACGGGCGGCAGCAGUGGGGAAUAUUGCACACUGGGCCGAAGCCUGAUGCAGAAACGCCGCGUGCGGGAUGACGGCCUUCGGGUUGUAAACCGCUUUCGCCUGUGACGAAGCGUGAGUGACGGUAAUGGGUAAAGAAGCACCGGCUAACUACGUG
rnacentral:rRNA from 1 species